CUAGUAAUCGCGCAUCAGCCAUGGCGCGGUGAAUACGUUCCCGGGCCUUGUACACACCGCCCGUCAAGCCAUGGGAGCCGGGGGCGCCUGAAGUCCGGGACCGCGAGGACCGGCCUAGGGGCGAAAACUGGUAACUGGGGCUAAGUCGUAACAAGGUAUC
rnacentral:rRNA from 1 species